rnacentral:tRNA from 1 species
AUUAUUUUGGCAGAUUAGUGUGAUGGAUUUAGAAUCUUUUUAUGUAUUUUAAUACAAAUAAUA